rnacentral:rRNA from 1 species
GACGAACGCUGGCGGCGUGCUUAACACAUGCAAGUCGAACGGAAAGGCCCUGCUUUUGUGGGGUGCUCGAGUGGCGAACGGGUGAGUAACACGUGAGUAACCUGCCCUUGACUUUGGGAUAACUUCAGGAAACUGGGGCUAAUACCGGAUAGGAGCUCCUGCUGCAUGGUGGGGGUUGGAAAGUUUCGGCGGUUGGGGCUGGACUCGCGGCUUAUCAGCUUGUUGGUGGGGUAGUGGCUUACCAAGGCUUUGACGGGUAGCCGGCCUGAGAGGGUGACCGGCCACAUUGGGACUGAGAUACGGCCCAGACUCCUACGGGAGGCAGCAGUGGGGAAUAUUGCACAAUGGGCGGAAGCCUGAUGCAGCAGCGCCGCGUGCGGGAUGCCGGCUUUCGGGUUGUAAACCGCUGUCGCCUGUGACGAAGCGUGAGUGACGGUAAUGGGUAAAGAAGCACCGGCCAACUACGUG